rnacentral:misc_RNA from 1 species
GAUGAAGAACGCAGCGAAAUGCGAUACGUAAUGUGAAUUGCAGAAUUCAGUGAAUCAUCGAAUCUUUGAACGCAUAUUGCACUCUCUGGUAUUCCGGAGAGCAUGCUUGUUUGAGUAUCAGUAAACACCUCAACUUCCAUAUCUUUUUUGAAAUGGGAGUUGGACUUGAGUGAUCCCAACGCUUUUCCUCACCGAAAAGUGGCGGGUUACUUGAAAUGCAGGUGCAGCUGGACUUUUCUCUGAGCUAUAAGCAUAUCUAUUUAGUCUGCCUAAAAAACAGAUUAUUACCUUUGCUGCAGCUAACAUAAAGGAGAUUAGUUCUUGUGCUGACUGAUGCAGGAUUCACAAAGACAGCUUCGGCCGACUUUGUAAACUCGAUCUCAAAUCAAGUAAGACUACCCGCUGAACUUAAGCAUAUCAAUAAGCGGAGGA